GAUGAACGCUGGCGGCGUGCUUAACACAUGCAAGUCGAACGGAAAGGCCACAGCUUGCUGUGGUACUCGAGUGGCGAACGGGUGAGUAACACGUGGGUGAUCUGCCCUGUACUUCGGGAUAAGCUUGGGAAACUGGGUCUAAUACCGGAUAGGAAUCACAUGUGGGUGUGUGGUUGGAAAGCUUUUGCGGUAUGGGAUGAGCUCGCGGCCUAUCAGCUUGUUGGUGGGGUAUUGGCCUACCAAGGCGUCGACGGGUAGCCGGCCUGAGAGGGUGUACGGCCACAUUGGGACUGAGAUACGGCCCAGACUCCUACGGGGGGCAGCAGUGGGGAAUAUUGCACAAUGGGCGCAAGCCUGAUGCAGCGACGCCGCGUGGGGGAUGACGGCCUUCGGGUUGUAAACUCCUUUCGUCAGGGACGAAGCGAAAGUGACGGUACCUGGAGAAGAAGCACCGGCUAACUACGUG
rnacentral:rRNA from 1 species